AGGUCUAGUUAGUAAACUAAGAUCCACCAUGACAGUCUAAUAACUAGGGGCCUUCGAUGGGAAGUUUUACCCAAAUUACUGGGCCACGGUUGUGGCCACUGAUGUUGUGGACUACCUAUAAUAUUCUAAGAAUACGUUUUUUAAUUGAAUUCUAGACUAGACUUACGUCUAACUUACAGUGAUGCCUUCAAACUUCAAUCAGACUACACUACUAGACUACAGACAUUAUACUCAAUAUAAAUAUACUGAUACUCAGUGAUAGUAUGUGAGAAAACUGUCUAAGAUCAGACAGUAUGAUAAUGAGUAUGGAGACAGACUGUGCAAUGCUCAGAAUGCUGGUGGCGAUUUUAUUGUUUACCAUGGAGUUGUCUACUUUUCAAAUUUUACUGACCAAGUUUUGUACAGUGACUGAUCCAUCUGCAGUUUCCGAACCAGUAACUGAUAUCUCAAAAAAAUAUUGCUUUAUUGAUGGUGUCUGGUCACCUCAGAUGAUCAACAUGAUUUGUUCAUUGAAAGACACUUGAAGGUGUAAGUUGUAAAAGGUUUUGAAAGACUUGCCAAAGCAAGGCAUUCUUGACAGGGAUAAACAUUGGGAGCAGCUCUAGCUGACUCAGCUCAGAGGAUGACAUCACAGUUAAUUGACAUCUUUCUGUUAACAAUGCAUGGAUUAUCUUAUCUUCUUCAUUCUAGGGGAAUUAUGCAUUGAGUGAAGACAUCUUGCUGUAGAAGAGAAGAACAAUUCAGAUAGUUCACAUGAUUUACAAUAUGGCUUUGAUUGUCUUAUGUUAAUGGCUGGUAAAGAACUGAAACAUGUAGGCUGGAGAUCACUUGAUAGAAAUCAAGAAAUCUCUGAGUCUACAUUGUAUGAGAAAAUCAUGAAGUGGUUGUUGUCAUUGAUCCAGAAACUAAGUUGCAAUCUGUCUUGAUAAAUAUAUCAUACAGAUUUAAUGGUGGCCUACUCAACCCGAGGCGGCUUAAAGCAAAAGCAAAAACAAACGCAGCAGUAAUCAGAGACUUGCUAUUUGCUGACGACUGUGCCCUAAAUGCCUGCUCUGAAAACGAUCUGCAGAGCAUCGUCAGUGACUUCUCAAGAGCAUGCUCAGACUUUGGCCUUACCAUCAAUACGAACAAGACUGAAGUCUUAUAUCUACCUGCUCCUGGGAAAGCCUACAUGGAUCCAAGCAUUACUAUAAAUGGACAGGAUAUAAACGCAGUGGACAAAUUCACAUAUCUUGGCAGCACACUCUCCAGAAAUGGAAAAAUCGAUAGUGAAAUCGACCUGUGUAUCGCCAAGGCCAGUGCAUCCUACGGCAGAUUGUCUACAAAUGUCUGGAACAGACGUGGUAUCUCCACAAACACCAAGCUAGGGAUCUAUAGAGCCGUCAUCCUCCCUACAUUGCUAUAUGCCUCAGAAACAUGGGCAGUGUACAGUAAACAUGCAAAGAAACUAAACCACUUCCACAUGACAUGUCUGAGAAAAAUACUAAAUGUCAAAUGGCAAGACGAAAUACCAGAGUGUGUCUGCAAAGCAUCCACACAAUCCUGAUGCAGUCCCAGCUGCAAUGGGCAGGUCACGUCUACAGAAUGGAAGACCACCGCAUCCCUAAACGACUCAUGUAUGGCCAACUAAGCGAAGGAAAGCGCUCGCAAGGUGGUCAAAGAAAGCGCUUCAGGGACACCCUCAAUGCUUCUCUGAAGGCGUUCAGCAUAGACCCAGGUACGUGGGAGACAGAGGCACAUGACAGAGCAUCAUGGCGUCGCGCUGUGAAAACUGGCGCACAGGUUGCUGGGGAAAAAAGAACAAUGCUGGCAGAAGAAAAACGCCAGAAAAGAAAAGCAAGGCCCACGACACUAGCUCCAGCUGGAAUAACCUGCCCAGUGUGUGGCCGAACAUUCCGGGCUCACAUAGGUCUCACCAGCCACAUGAGGAGGCAUAAAACCCCAGUGCAAAGCCCUCAGCCCCCUGGAUGACAAAGUGGUCAUCAUCGAACCACGAUGGACGAACUAUAAGUUGCAAUCUGUCUUGGUAAGCGUUUGGUCACAAUAAUUUAAUUUGAAAAUUAAAGAAAUUUUUUUUGCUUUAGUAGACAGAUUUAUAAUCAUUAAACAUUGUUUUAAAUGUCUAAAAGAUUAAUUAAAACUUGUAAAACUGUUGUGAAAUUAUUUUCACUGUUAUCAGUAUUUUUUAUUCCUAGAUUUAUCACUGCUUUUAGUUUCCUAUAUAAUCGUUGUGUUACUAUUCAAAUGUUGUGUAAACAUGGGGGUAGUGUUGUAACCCUGCCUUGCACCAGUGCUUGAGGUGCGCAUUAGCGCACUAGUGAACGUAAACAGAAAGAGACUAGAAUGGAGAGAAGAACAGGGCAUCAGGGAUUGUGAAGAGUCUGAAUGUUUGGAAACUAAGAAGCAAGCUUUUGGUGCUGCCUGAAGGUUGUAGAAGGGACCUGGAACGAAGCGGGGAAGGCUGUCAUUGGUCCACUUUCGGGUUGCUGUCUAAAGGACUGGUAAAUUAGUAGAAAGACUCUGAGGAAGCUGAAGGAUGCUAUGUGUUUGUCCUAGUGAAUAAACACCUGUCUUUAUUUCCUGUUACACUGUGUUGAGUUGCAUGCCUAUUCGUUGAGUGCCUAGCCGAGAGUUGCAACAAUUGGUGUUAUGACUCUACAAUGCACGCUGUCAUUAGGUGUGAGACUGCGCACCAUGAGACACAGGACAGAGACAUGAAAUAAGAGAGGAAGUCAAGAUGGCCGAUGAUUAGAGAUGAAAACGACGCUUGUGAUGUGAUUAGUGUAAUUCUAGAUCUAGUUUCCUAUUUGGUUAUUAAACAUUCUAUUUUGUUAUUUUAUACUCCUUUCGUUGAGGUUAUUUGGCUAAGUUAUAGCAAUUGUUCUGGGUGGAAAGACAUGCUCCAAUUUGAUUCCCUUUUCUGUAAUUCAUCUAAUUCUCUUUGUAAAAUAUCUGUGUCUUGUGUUGUUUUUAUUGUUCUAUAUAUUAUGCAAUUGUAUACAACUUUUUGUAGUCGCCAAAUAACACACUUUUAUGCUCAAGCAAUACUGUUAAUGAAUGGUUUAGUUUUCUUGAUGCUGAGAGUGUUCAUGAAAGAGGGAUCAAAGGUCAAUUUGGGUGUUUGUUUUUUAAGACAACUUGCUAUGUUUAUUAAUUUAAAUUUACCAGGUACCUAUUAUUCAUUUACUUUGGAUUUUAGAAUAUUUGUCAUUGAAAUUUAAAUAGGUAUAAGUACAGUUAAUUAACCACAGGAUUCCAUUCAAAAAUUUAAAUGCUAAAGAAAUUUAAAAAGAAAACAUUUCAUUUUUGAGAUUACAUCAUCUUUAUGUGGAAUGUUUUUUGAAUAAAUGGUACCUGUACAGGUGAUUAGACCUAUUAAUAAAUGAUAACUGGAUAUAUUUGUAUUUGAAACCACUGGCUUGUAUUUUACUUGUUACUAAUAACUUAAUUUACUUUUUAAUAUAUGCGUUAUCUUCUAUUUUGAAGUAACAUCUGUAUUAUAUAAGAUAAGAUUAUCAACUGUAGUUUUCUUUUAAGAGUUCUUUAUGAAAAUGUUACCACUGAACACUGCUAUAUUACUAGACUUUUUUCAACUAUGUUUUGUAAAUGAAAUAUUGUACAAUGGCAUAUUUAUUGUAUUACAUAAUUAAGGUUUUUAUAGCUAUAUAUUAAAAACAUCUCUUAUUUAAUGUACUCUCUGCACUGAACAAUUUUUUUUUAAAGAGAUAAAAAUUUUGGUUUAUUCAUAUCAAGUUUGUUUUGUUUGUAUAUGUAGAAUAUGUACUUGCAUUUUAGUUUUUAUAAUCAUUUAUAGAAUUCAGUGUAAAUUCAUUGUACAUUGAACCUCGUUGGUAGUGUCAAUGUUAUGACGUUGACAUGAAGUAUUUAUGUAUAGUCCUGGGUGUUAACUACAUUGUUCAUUAGAUGACUGCCUGACAGUGUUUUAUCCCAUGGGAACCAAUAGAUCAGCAUGUCAAUAUAUCUGUUGUAGUAAUGUUUAGAGUAUACAACUCUAGCAAUAAAUAUUCUGAUCAAGUUUAUAUUUUUUGAACAGAAUAUGCUAAUGUGUUAAAUACAUUUUUUUUUAUUUUAACUGGUACUUUAUUUUAUCCCUUUGUAUCUUUCUUUUUUUUUUUAUGUCUAAGUAGUAUAAAUUCUAAUUUAAUUGUCUCCCUUUUAAAGUCAACCAUCUAAAUUAGGGAUGGCAAACUUUUUCUGUUGAGGGACGCAUUAAAUUUUUUUUUAGGAAUAGGGGGCCACAUAUAUAUAAUUUGUAUUUACAACUUAGAAAAAUAUGCUAACUGUCUAUUAAUUUACUUGUAUACUGUAUUAGACAUUCAAAUUGAGGAAUUAUAACAAGAUUUAGCAAUUUUUGAAACUAAUUUAACUAAUAGUUAAAAAAAUUUUGUUACUGUCUUUUUACAUCACAUUCAUUCUUCACAACAAUCCAGUUAUACUUAAUGUGAAGUAUUUAAUUGUGCAUAAUGUUCCGGAACUCUGGAACUAGCUUUACUAGUUCUUAUCUUUGUGACUGCUGUUAAAUUACAGCCAGUCAGCAUCCACUUGUUCUUCUGGUUGCAUAUGUUCAAACAAAAGAAAAUAUUCUUGUGCAUCCAAAAAUGUCAAAGUUUAGCAUCAAGUCUUUUUAAGUGUGGAAAUACAGCUUAUGCACCCUUCAAACUGCUUCUCUUUUGGGUCAUAAUUUGCUAGGAAGUAUUUCCUCGGGAGCUGAAUCAGCUUCUGUACUAAAUGGUGAAGUGAGGAUAUUCAAAAAUGGUUUAAGUUCUUGACGUCUUAACAUUUGUUUUCAAAUUCCAUAAGUCUUGUUCUUUUCUUUUUACUAGAAAUAGUUUCAACUUUCAGCAAAGGAAAAUGUGUCACAGUCUUAGUUGACAUUGCAUGAUCUAAAGUUCACGUCAUGUUAAGAGUUUAAAAGACACGUGGAAUUCCUGAUGUAGAAAACAGGAAGUAGAAUGAAUAAAGUUGACUUUGAGUUCAGUCAAGUCAAGUCAGUAAGGUCUUGCUCCCGGUCCAGGAAGGUUGGACGUUGCUUCCUGGACUGGUGUAUAUAUAUGUAUAUAGCAUGAAAGUCGAUGGACUAAUGAUUGUUGAUUAAUUAUAUUUGAGAGUUGAUUUCAUCAUGUGCUUAUUGAAUAUUAAAGUAUUAUUCGUAUUGCAAUGGAUAUCUAUAGUUGGAGCUCCAGUGUCACUAGUAGCAAUUGUUCUUAUUGUUACCCGCUGAGAUGCGGACGUGAUUUGUAACUAACAUAUAUUGGAUACUUUUGAUACCGCUGUUAUGUGGAUAGGAUUGUUAUUAUUUCUUGACUUGUAGCACUAACAAGGAGUGCAGUGUACUAUUAUUAUUAUUAUGGUAAAAUAAACUUCAUGUUGUCUGCUGAAA